GAGUGGGCGGGAGCCCUGGGUGCACAUACCUGGCCGCCCCAAGGCCUCACCGGCCCCCGCAGAUGCAGAGGAGCGAGGCCUGGAGCCCCAGGGCCGAGACAUGCUGCUGGACCGGCAGCUCCUGCGGAAGCGCAGCAGCCAGACCCCGGGAAACACCAGGGGUGAGACCCCCCAUUGGAGGCCUGCAGAGCUGAGCCUUCAUCCAAAACCCUGGGGUCCCUCUCCGUCGGCCACAGUGAAUCUUGGGCCAACCUCCCAGCCCCGUGGGUGCGUCACCAUCGCCAGGGCAGCGGCUGGAGAGGCGAGCUGAGGGGCUGACUUCCACCCGACGGCUGAUGAGGUGAGGCUGAGCCUGAGGCUGAGCCCCAGGCUGGGGCCUGGAGCAAGACCCAAGCAGCAAGGGAGGUACAGAGGCACCCGUCUCCUUGGCGUGUGUGCGUGUGCAUGUGUGUGCGUGCGCGUGCGUGGUAUGUGUGUGGAGAACCAAUUUGCAUUGUCUCUGUGCACGUGCGAUAAGAGUUUUCUGACACAAAAGGUGUCAGUAAAAUUAACUGAUUUCAUUUUGAACCUUCCCCCCAGCCCAACAGGCAGUGUCUGGCAAGGCUUCCUUUCAGCGAGACGCUUUGGGUUCAACUUUGCCAAUGGCUAGUGUGAAGCUAAGCCGGCCUGAAGUCACAGGCGCACGAGCCUCGUGAGCCCUGGAGAAGGACCACGAAGCUCAGGCUGGGGAGGGGGCCCUGGGCCGCCCCCCCUCCAGCCCCAGGCUCCGACCCUGCUGAGGGGGCUUGGUGUCUUCUCUGCACACAGCCCCUCAGGCAAGUCCAGAGCCCUGCUUCCUCCCGGGAAUGCCAGGGACAUGUCACCUACGGCAUCUGUCCCGCUCUUGCUCUGAUUGAGCGGCCCCAGCAGAGGAGACUGUGGGAACAGACAGAGAAGAAGGCAGCCUUUGGGGGAAAAGCUGAGUCAGCGAGGGAGGAGGGGAGGCCGGGCUGCUGCGGACGCAGCCUCCCCCGAGCAGCUGCCUUCCCUGCGUCCUGCAGCAGGAGGCGCUGCUGAGAACAAGUGCACUCCCCACUUGGAGUCUCGAAAUCCUGUUUCUGCAAAGCUGGCUGCAUCGCACACGGAACGUCAGUGCCCACACGUGGCCUGGAGCAAGACUGAGCCCUUGGCCCUCCCGCUGGGGGUCUUACAACGGGGCGAGCUUACGAGGUGCCCAGAGCAUCAUCAAGCUGGCUCAGGGGGCCCAGAGCUGAGUGUGCCACAGCCCAGCCCCGACCAGCACUGGCCCCUAGGAGGAAGGACACCUUGAGGCCAGCAGGUGCCGUGGCGAACAAGGGCACAGGACAUGCCACCUCCCGGUGCCCCUGUGGGCAGGGAGACGGACGCCUUCCCCUCCACAGGCCAGUGGCAUCCCGCUGUCUCCAUUUGAGAGGCGGCAAGCAGGCCAGAUGGGGCCGCCUUGAAAGCCUGCCCUCCAGCCAAAGCCAAGGGCACGGGAAAUAAACUGGGUCCAUAUGUGCGGGCAGCUCCAGCAUGUCUGCGGCACGCACCUGCCUCUGCUCCCAGGGCCAACCCUGCAGUCGCACACCUCUGAACACCCGCCCAUGAAGCUGAUGCGGUGACCUAGGGGGACCUCCCUCGAGGGGCCACUGUCCGGUGCAGGUCAACCGCUCUGUGGUCUUGGGCAAGACGAUGAGUGAAGACGGAGCUGAGCUGCACCCAGCAGGCACUAGAUCAAGGCAGAAAAACGUGGACCUGCAGAGCAGAGUGACACAUUGCCCCAGGUCUCUGCUACGUGGCCUGGCCCUCCCGAAGUGGGGGAUUUAAAGUGACAGCACCAGUUCUGAGCUCACCCAUCUGCAGUUUGGGCAGAGAGAGACUGAAAGGAGGCAGAGACAGGGGGAAGGUGGGGGAGGAAAACGAAUCGGACUAGGAACGAUGAGGUAGCGAGUUCGAUCCCUGGCCUCGCUCAGUGGGUUAAGGAUCCAACAUUGCCGUGAGCUGUGGUGUAGGUCGCAGACUCAGCUUGGAUCCCGCGUUUUUGCGGCUGUGGUUGUGGCAUAGGCCGGCGGCUACAACUCUGACUGGGCCCCUAGACUGGGAACCUCCAUAUGCUGAGGUGCAGCCCUGAAAAGACCAAAAAAAAAAAAAGAAAAAAAAGAAAGAAAGAAAGAGCAGCUCCCCCACCCCCCUGCCCCUUAAAGCUGCAGCUGGGAGCGCAGCAAGGCGUCCUCUUUGGGUCUCGGCAGCACCCCUCGGGCACUUUGAGCAUCACCGCCCAUCUCCAAGCCGCGGCGGCCUCAUCUAGAAAAGCGAGGUCUGUGCAAACCUGGAAACCAGAGGGCACGGAGCAGUCCGGGGAGCCCGACACAAGGAACAUGUGGCUUCGGGGAGCGGGAGCCCAGCGCCUGCAGAGAGGCCACCUGCUUCGGGGGCAGGAGAGCAGGGCCAGGUGGCCCCCAGGUUGAGGCUGUACCUGGGGGAGCACCCAGGCGCAGAGGGGCCCUCAGCCAGACCCUCUGUGUCUUUCCUCCGAAGAGAAGUUCUAGUUGACCCAGGGGCUCUGCAGGGCCCCUCCUGGAAGCCCUCCUCUCUGCCACAUGGACUGUGUCAUCUCAUCAUCUUUCUGUCACCUGACAGGCUUCUUCUGCCCCGAGUCCCCUGCCAGUGGGAUUUUCCGUCUCAAUCUCACCCCCUCCUCUCCUAACGGGCCUCUUCUUCUGAAAUAAAUCGAUUGCUUUCAUGCCAACUCUCUUCUCUCUGCUAAGAAAUCAUCGAGUUUUUUAAACUUUUAUUUGUUCUGUUUCCCCCCCAUCUCUUCCCAGGCCUCCUUUUCUCUGGGGAUCUUGAAAUUUUAUUUAGCAAGUCCCGGAACAAGUCCCAACCGGGCCUCCUCGUGCGCGAGAAUGUCACAUCCGUGCCACAUUUAAGACAACCUGGAAGGGACCCUCAGCGACGGAGCUGCCCACUCUGCCCGCUUCCUCCCUGGGAAACCCAGAGCCCAGGGGAGAAGGAAAAGGGCCGAGGCCGAAAACAAGGCCAGGGUCUGAGCCCUGAGUGGAAAUCGGGGUCCGGCCGGGCCUCCCUUUCCCGCGUGGUGAAGAAUCACGUGCCGGCAGGAGGAGGUGCAUGGGCACCCGGGACGCCACCCUGGGGAAGAACCGGCGAGGCCUCUUGUUGCUCCAGGGGAAGCGGCCCAGAGCUGCCAAGUGACACGGCGCUGGCCACCAAGAAAGUGUGGAAGCUUGCCAAACCCAGCUGGGGACACUCUCCGUCCCUGGUGAAGACGGCCAAGCCGCUGGCACUGCCCUGUGAAGGGGGACACCAGCUGAGGUGGCAGGAGAAGGGCCGGGACCAUCAUGGAGCAGCCCGGUCACAGCCGACAGCCAGCUGCCCCCAGAUGCUCGCUCCUUGAGGAGAAAGCGCACUCAGGUCGAAGCCUCUGCUUCCCGGUGUCUCAGUCCUCGUAGCCUCAUUUGUCCCUAAAUGACUCGGCCCUCAGCCUGGAGACACCCCGCACCCCGGGAGGGAGGGGAAUGCCCCGGGGACAGCGGCGAGCCGCCCCUGGGCGCCGAUGCCUGCAAGCAAGGGCCUCUUCCCCAGGGAGCCCGGGCCUUCUACACGCGCCGACCACGCAGGACUCCUGGCCCGGUCCUGCGGCCGGCCCACCCCAGCAUCUGCCGUCUACCAUCGCCCUCCUCUUCCAGAGACAUGAGGCCUGGGGCCGCCUUGCUGAAAACGGGCCACGGAAGGGACGCCACCUAAGUCCCGGGGCCAGGACACGCACGGGGAGAUGGAUCCUCCUGGCUUCUCCUGGCUCAGCAGCAGGGCUCGGGGCACCCAGAGGCCGUGUGUGCGGCCCCAGGAGCAGACCCACCUCCCCCUCCCAUGCAGGAGACUAUGGGCAGCAGCUCAGCAGCCAGGAGCCAUCCUGCUACCCGCCUCCUCCCAGGUGGGCCCUGUCACAAGACCCCGAGGCUGCGCUGGGUCCCCCCUUUGUCCGCCUCUGUCCUCCCCAGCCUCCCUGAGGGCAGGUGAGAAGAGUCCCUACCCCACCUGGUCGGCCAGGUGCUGGGCCCUGAGGAUCCCACCACCUCGGGAGCCACACGCCAAAGAGAGAAAGCGGCAAAGGCGAACCCAGGUGACUGCGUCUUUGGAAAGAGGAGAGAGAGAGCAAGCAGCGACAGCGCUUUCAAAGCUGGCCAACACCGCCAGCCUCGCGAAGGCCGCCGAGCGACAUGGUUCGCUGUCAUCCUCAGCUGAGUCACAUCCUUUCUCUCCACGUGUUUUGGGCUGGAUAGUUUUGAUGGCCUCCUCAUAAAUUAUGUAAUAUCGUCUCCCAUAAAGAAAAUGAGAGGAUCAGGUGGUCUCCCCCAGCUCGGAUGACCAACUUUUUCUUAGUGUUGAAAGUUUAUAGAAGUCAAUUUGAGCUUUGCAACUCGUGACUGGGGACAUCAAGAGAAAUUUCAGCAUUGUUGUCACAUUCAGAAAAACGUCUCUCAUGUCUCUUUUAUACCCAAGGGUUAGGAUGCCGGCGUGUUCAUGUUCUCUUGGGUGGUGGAUGCUAUGCAAUACACUUUGGAGUUCCCUGGUGGCUCAGUGGAUUAAGGAUCCAGCAUGGUCUUUGCGGUGCUUGGAUCACUGCUCUGACAAGGGUUCAAUCUCUGUCCCAGGAACUUCUGCAGGCCCUGAGCAUGGCAAAAAAAAAUUUAACAAUUUGGACUUGCCGCUGUGGUGCAACGGGAUUGGCAGCAUCUUUGCAGCUCCAGGGCGCAGGUUCGAUUCCCAGCUGGCAAAGUGGGUUAAAAGGGUCUGGUGUUGCCACAGCUGUAGCGUAGGAUGCAACUAUGGCUCCGAUCUGAUCUCUGGCCUGGGAACUCCAUAUGGCCCAGGGAGGCCAAAAAAGAAAAAAGUACUCUCAGUUCAUGACACUAAACUCUUUUCACUCUGUUGAACGGGUGGCUGGGUUUCAGGAGUCAGAGUAAUGCAUUUCUCACGAGGAUCUGUUGCCGUUAGCAGGAACGUGCGGGAGCCAAGGACAUGCGGGAGCCGCAGGGACCUGCGACGUCAGCUUCUUUGGCGUCACGUCUGAACCUGUGUGUCCCUGCAAGAUGCCCGAACCUUGGAGCAGGGAGGAUCCCAGGCAGGCAGGUGUGUGUCAGGCCGCUCAUUCCCACUGGUGGAGAUUUAUUAGGUGUCGGUGGCAAGAAUCCUGGCAAAUUUCUCCAGGAAUCUGUACCGAGGCACCUGGAUGGGUCCCCUAUAAACACAGGCCUUUGCGACCUCAGCCACCUCUUCUUCAGCAACAAAUCAGCACCCAUUACGGAAUGGGACACUAGUUAGAUGAAAGAAUCUGUUUUCGCAAAGGAAAACAGCACUGUCCCGAGAGCCUUGUGGCAGCCGUGAGCAUGGCCACAUGCACCUGUCAGGAGGAUGUGGUUCCAGGAUGCCAGGUGCUGGUGAGGACGCAGCGGGACCAGAACUCACAUGUGGCCAGCAGGGAUGCAAACGGCCAGUGUGGACAGUCACUCGGAGCGUUGACCAAAUAUCUGCAAUGCAACCCAGCAGUCUCUCUCCAGGGUCUUCGCCUUCGGGAAGUCAAAACUAUGUCCACAAAAAUCUGUACCUGGAUGUUUACAGCACUUCUGUUCAUAACCACAAAAAUAGUAAAGUCCCAAAGGUCCU
rnacentral:lncRNA from 1 species